GACAGAGGAUGCAAGCGUUAUCCGGAAUGACUGGGCGUAAAGCGUCUGUAGGUGGCUUUUUAAGUCUGCCGUCAAAUCCCAGGGCUUAACCCUGGACAGGCGGUGGAAACUACCAAGCUGGAGUACGGUAGGGGCAGAGGGAAUUUCCGGUGGAGCGGUGAAAUGCGUAGAGAUCGGAAAGAACACCAACGGCGAAGGCACUCUGCUGGGCCGACACUGACACUGAGAGACGAAAGCUAGGGGAGCAAAUGGG
rnacentral:rRNA from 1 species